rnacentral:rRNA from 1 species
UAGAGUUUGAUCCUGGCUCAGGACGAACGCUGGCGGCGUGCCUAACACAUGCAGUCGAACGGAGUGUUGCGCUGAAAUUGAGAUUAGCUUGCUAAAGGAUAUUUCUUGCAACACUUAGUGGCGGACGGGUGAGUAACGCGUGAGGAACCUGCCUUACAGAGGGGGACAACAGUUGGAAACGACUGCUAAUACCGCAUAACGUAUCGAGAAGACAUCUUCUUGUUACCAAAGGAGCAAUCCGCUGUAAGAUGGCCUCGCGUCCGAUUAGAUAGUUGGUGAGGUAACGGCCCACCAAGUCGACGAUCGGUAGCCGGACUGAGAGGUUGAACGGCCACAUUGGGACUGAGACACGGCCCAGACUCCUACGGGAGGCAGCAGUGGGGGGAUAUUGCACAAUGGAGGAAACUCUGAUGCAGCAACGCCGCGUGAGGGAAGAAGGUUUUCGGAUUGUAAACCUCUGUUUUCGGUGACGAAACAAUGACGGUAGCCGAGAGGAGCCACGGCUACUACGUGCCAGCAGCCGCGGUAUACGUAGGGGCGAGCGUUGUCCGGAAUUACUGGGCGUAAAGGUGCGUAGCGGUACUUUAAGUUGGAUGUGAAAUACCCGGGCUUACUUGGGGGGGUGCAU